AGAGUUUGAUCAUGGCUCAGAACGAACGUUAGCGGCGCGCCUAAUACAUGCAAGUCGUGCGAGAAAGGGCUUCGGCCCCGGUAAAGCGGCGCACGGGUGAGUAACACGUAGGUGAUCUCCCCUCGAGUGGUGGAUAACCCUCCGAAAGGAGGACUAAUACAGCAUAAGACCACGGCUCUUCGGAGCUGCGGCCAAAGCCGGCCACUGUAUACAAGCUUGUGCUCGAGGAUGAGCCUGCGGCCCAUCAGGUAGUUGGUAGGGUAACGGCCUACCAAGCCUAAGACGGGUAGCUGGUCUGAGAGGAUGAACAGCCACACUGGAACUGAGACACGGUCCAGACUCCUACGGGAGGCAGCAGUAGGGAAUCUUGCCCAAUGGGCGAAAGCCUGAGGCAGCGACGCCGCGUGAGCGAUGAAGGCCUUCGGGUUGUAAAGCUCUGUGGGGAGGGACGAAUAAGGCUUGGCUAAUAUCCAAGUCGAUGACGGUACCUCCUUAGCAAGCACCGGCUAACUCUGUGCCAGCAGCCGCGGUA
rnacentral:rRNA from 1 species